rnacentral:ncRNA from 2 species
AAAUUGCAUAGGGGGAGCUUGUAGACAGGCUGAGAGGAAGUUGGGAACUUCGACCCGGGAACCUGAUUUGGAUAAUGCCAACGUAGGGAAAUAGAUGAGAGACUGC